AGUGAACGCUGGCGGCAGGCCUAACACAUGCAAGUCGAGCGGCAGCGGGUCCUUCGGGCUGCCGGCGAGCGGCGGACGGGUGAGGAAUGCGUCGGAAUCUGCCUUUUUGUGGGGGAUAACGUAGGGAAACUUACGCUAAUACCGCAUACGACCUACGGGUGAAAGUGGGGGACCGCAAGGCCUCACGCAGAAAGAUGAGCCGACGUCGGAUUAGCUAGUUGGCGGGGUAAAGGCCCACCAAGGCGACGAUCCGUAGCUGGUCUGAGAGGAUGAUCAGCCACACUGGAACUGAGACACGGUCCAGACUCCUACGGGAGGCAGCAGUGGGGAAUAUUGGACAAUGGGCGCAAGCCUGAUCCAGCCAUGCCGCGUGUGUGAAGAAGGCCUUCGGGUUGUAAAGCACUUUUGUCCGGAAAGAAAUCCUGUCGGCUAAUACCCGGCGGGGAUGACGGUACCGGAAGAAUAAGCACCGGCGAACUUCGU
rnacentral:rRNA from 1 species